rnacentral:rRNA from 1 species
GACAGAGGAGCCAAGCGUUGUCCGGACUGACUGGGCGUAAAGCGCACGUAGGCGGGACGGUGCGUCGGUGCUGAAAGCGCCAGGCUUAACCUGGCGAGGCGUGCCGAUACGACCGACCUCGAGGCAGACAGAGGGUGGCGGAAUUCCGGGUGUAGUGGUGAAAUGCGUAGAGAUCCGGAGGAACGCCGGUGGCGAAAGCGGCCACCUGGGUCUGACCUGACGCUGAGGUGCGAAAGCGUGGGGAGCAAACCGG